GGCUGCUUAAAGAGGUGGUUCAGUGGGAGAGCAUCUGCUCUGCAUGCAAAAGGUCCCAGGUUCAACCCCUGGUAGGGCCA